rnacentral:rRNA from 1 species
CCUACGGGAGGCAGCAGUGGGGGAUAUUGCACAAUGGGGGAAACCCUGAUGCAGCGACGCCGCGUGGGUGAAGAAGCGCCUCGGCGCGUAAAGCCCUGUCAGCAGGGAAGAAAAUGACGGUACCUGAAGAAGAAGCCCCGGCUAACUACGUGCCAGCAGCCGCGGUAAUACGUAGGGGGCAAGCGUUAUCCGGAUUUACGGGGUGUAAAGGGGGCGCAGACGGCGAUGCAAGCCAGGAGUGAAAGCCCGGGGCCCAACCCCGGGACUGCUCUUGGAACUGCGUGGCUAGAGUGCAGGAGGGGCAGGCGGAAUUCCUGGUGUAGCGGUGAAAUGCGUAGAUAGCAGGAGGAACACCGGUGGCGAAGGCGGCCUGCUGGACUGCAACUGACGUUGAGGCCCGAAAGCGUGGGGAGCAAACAGGAUUAGAUACCCCAGUAGUC